AAACAUGUCCUCUUGUUUAUAUUUUGAGGUCUGGCCUGCUCACUGAGCGUAUUUUUAAAGAGCCGCGGUAUUUUGACCGUGCAAAGGUAAAAAUUUCAUACAAAUAAAUAUACUAAUUCUAUCAUUAUUACAAAAAUUUUAAAAUUAAAUUAAUAAUCUUAAUAAAAAA